GAUGAACGCUGGCGGCGUGCCUAAUACAUGCAAGUCGAGCGAGAAGCUUGGAAAUGACGCUUCGGUUGAUUUUCCAAGCGGACAGCGGCGGACGGGUGAGUAACGCGUAGGCAACCUGCCCCUGACAGAGGGGUAGCCAUUGGAAACGAUGAUUAAAACCUCAUGACACCGUAGUAGCACAUGCUACAUCGGUCAAAGAUUUAUCGGUCAGGGAUGGGCCUGCGUCUGAUUAACUGGUUGGUGAGGUAACGGCUCACCAAGGUGACGAUCAGUAGCCGACCUGAGAGGGUGAUCGGCCACAUUGGAACUGAGACACGGUCCAAACUUCUACGGAAGGCAGCAGUAGGGAAUCUUGCACAAUGGGCGAAAGCCUGAUGCAGCAACGCCGCGUGAAGGAUGAAGGCCUUCGGGUUGUAAACUUCUGUUCUAAGGGAAAGAAAAGA
rnacentral:rRNA from 1 species